rnacentral:rRNA from 1 species
GAUGAACGCUGGCGGCGUGCCUAAUACAUGCAAGUCGAGCGAACAGACGAGGAGCUUGCUCCUCUGACGUUAGCGGCGGACGGGUGAGUAACACGUGGAUAACCUACCUAUAAGACUGGGAUAACUUCGGGAAACCGGAGCUAAUACCGGAUAAUAUAUUGAACCGCAUGGUUCAAUAGUGAAAGACGGUUUUGCUGUCACUUAUAGAUGGAUCCGCGCCGCAUUAGCUAGUUGGUAAGGUAACAGCUUACCAAGGCAACGAUGCGUAGCCGACCUGAGAGGGUGAUCGGCCGCACUGGAACUGAGACACGGUCCAGACUCCUACGGGAGGCAGCAGUAGGGAAUCUUCCGCAAUGGGCGAAAGCCUGACGGAGCAACGCCGCGUGAGUGAUGAAGGUCUUCGGAUCGUAAAACUCUGUUAUUAGGGAAGAACAAAUGUGUAAGUAACUAUGCACGUCUUGACGGUACCUAAUCAGAAAGCCACGGCUAACUACGUG